UCAACAUGGGAGCUCACUGUCAAGGUCACAUGCAGAGGGCCUAUUAACUCAACCAAUUACCUCGGGGAAGCUCUGAGACAACAGCCAAUCAUCACCCUAGCAGUACGUCACCUGACACAGGUGAGCGAAUGCGCAGAGAGUUUGCUUCUAAACCAGUACAAUUGCUGGAGUUGGUGGAUGUGUGCUAUACUUUGCUUCUUAA
rnacentral:lncRNA from 1 species